rnacentral:rRNA from 1 species
AUACGGAGGGUGCGAGCGUUAAUCGGAAUUACUGGGCGUAAAGCGCGCGUAGGUGGUUUUGUAAGUCGGAUGUGAAAGCCCCGGGCUCAACCUGGGAAUUGCAUUCGAUACUGCAAGACUUGAGUACAGUAGAGGAGAGUAGAAUUCCUGGUGUAGCGGUGAAAUGCGUAGAUAUCAGGAGGAAUACCAGUGGCGAAGGCGACUUCCUGGGCAAAUACUGACGCUGAGGUGCGAAAGCGUGGGGAGCAAACAGCAUUAGAAACCCCAGUAGUCC